rnacentral:antisense_RNA from 1 species
GAAAACGUGCAUGAGUUUUAAACCCCAACCCUAACAAGAAAAUAGGCUUCAUUUUAAAGGAUGGCCAAAUAUUGGAGCCAUCUUUUUUUAGGUAUUUUUUUGGAGCUCCCUUAUCUCAUGCCAUCUGUCUUUUGCCAUGCCAACAAUUUUUGUUUCAACAGUUCGGCUCUGCUUUUCGAUGACUUUUGAAAAAAAUUGGGUUGCUUGUUUGAUAUUAUGAAUU